rnacentral:rRNA from 1 species
GAUGAACGCUGGCGGCGUGCCUAAUACAUGCAAGUCGAGCGAACAGACGAGGAGCUUGCUCCUCUGACGUUAGCGGCGGACGGGUGAGUAACACGUGGAUAACCUACCUAUAAGACUGGGAUAACUUCGGGAAACCGGAGCUAAUACCGGAUAAUAUAUUGAACCGCAUGGUUCAAUAGUGAAAGACGGUUUUGCUGUCACUUAUAGAUGGAUCCGCGCCGCAUUAGCUAGUUGGUAAGGUAACGGCUUACCAAGGCAACGAUGCGUAGCCGACCUGAGAGGGUGAUCGGCCACACUGGAACUGAGACACGGUCCAGACUCCUACGGGAGGCAGCAGUAGGGAAUCUUCCGCAAUGGGCGAAAGCUUGACGGAGCAACGCCGCGUGAGUGAUGAAGGUCUUCGGAUCGUAAAACUCUGUUAUUAGGGAAGAACAAAUGUGUAAUUAACUAUGCACGUCUUGACGGUACCUAAUCAGAAAGCCCCGGCUAACUACGUG